AUCCAGCUGAGGAGUCCCAAAUAGAACGAAACGCACUUCCUGGAU
rnacentral:hammerhead_ribozyme from 1 species